rnacentral:rRNA from 1 species
UACAGAGGUCCCAAGCGUUGUUCGGAUUCACUGGGCGUAAAGGGUGCGUAGGUGGCCAGGUAAGUCCGCUGUGAAAGCCCUGGGCUCAACCUGGGAAUUGCAGUGGAUACUGGCAAGCUAGAGUGCGGUAGAGGAUGGUGGAAUUCCCGGUGUAGCGGUGAAAUGCGCAGAUAUCGGGAAGAACACCCGUGGCGAAGGCGGCUUUCUGGACCGACACUGACGCUGAGGCGCGAAAGCUAGGGGAGCAAACGGG